GAUCCUUCCCCUCUCGUAGCCAGCUCUUAAAUAGGUCUCUGGUCUUAAAUAGUUAUGAAAUGAAAAUUGUGUGCUGUGAAACCAACAGUUACUCCUGUGGUAAUAAAUUUGGUCUGCAGAGAAAGAGAAAAUGAACUGAAAGCAAAACGUUGAAAUCAAAUUGUGGGAUAGGUUUUUUGACGUUGUGGAUGACCAUGAGGAUCGGCAUCUGUAGCAACCAGAGCCCAUCUCAGUCCUGCAGGGAGUCGCUUUGUAAACGCAGUUUUCCUGCCAACGAAGUUUGUUUGCUUGGUGAUAAGAAACAAUGGUCAACUGGAUGUGCUACUUAAGCAUUUUAGUGCUUGAGAAGAGGAAUCUAGAUUUGUGCUAAACCUAUUUUCUUAGUCAAAUGCCGGCUUGGCAGCCUAUCUGGAAAGCUGGUAGCACCGUGGCAGAGUGAUUAUGAGGAUUGUUUUCAGCAGUCUCUGGUAAGUCUGCUUUUAAGAAAGUUCUUUCGUUAAGGAAAACACAGUUCUUAUCUUCGGGAUUGGAAAGACUGCAUGAGAAAAAGGCACGGGCAUUGCUGGGUGCUCAGGGUCGUACUUUUCAAGGUGCCUGAAAAGCAGUGAUGGUUUUGGCUUUGAGAAAGACUACUGUUCAUCCACUAGAGUGAUAUUAGCUGCAAUUAACUGAUAUUCCAGUUAUGUAUGAAGGACUCCAUUUUUGUUCUGCUAAGGAAAGCAUAGUUAUAUUGGUUUAAGUUUGUUUAUUCCAUUUCCUACAUCUGGGGGUCGUUGUACUCUAAUACAGGCUCUUUUUCUUAUGGUAGCAAGACGUGCUUGCAGUGGGACGGCACGAUUGGUGUGUGACCUCGCCCAGGCCUGAAGUUGUGCCCUCACUGUGUGCUGUGCCUUGGGGUGAAGCCAGAUGGUGUCUGACACUGGGUGAGCAGACUUCCAGAGACAACGCACUCUAGGUUCCAUCCUUUUUUACUGGUGUUUCAAACAAGUUAUUCCUGUACUCUGCAGAAAGCCUCACGACCACAAAACCAGCAAUAAUUGUGUAAAUGAUAAGCUUGUCUUCCUCCUCCUUUAUCCAGAUAUUCUGAGUGCGACAGACAGCAGAGAUGUGCAUUGCUGGAAUCCAGAGAGUUUCAUAAUGUGGCAGUCGCUUGCUGUGAAUGCCACUGCAUAAAUAAGACAACAUUUAUUUUAAGUACUGAGAAACAUUCUAAGUAGAAGAAAAAAGUGUUCAGGUGAAGCCAGUCCCAUUUGUUUACAAGUCUUGGUUUUGUUCUUCAUACAUAUUAAUGCUUUUCAUUUGUAUUCUGAUUUUUUGAACCUUUCAAGUUCAUGCUUUCCUUCUUUUUUUUCUUUCUUUUUUUUUUCCUUUUCGUGCAACAAGAAAGUCUGGAUUGAGACCUUACUUUAAAAAGGAAAAUCUGGUUGAACGUCCUGUAUAACCAUGCAACUCCAGACAAAGGGUGUUUAAAAAAUACACUUUGAGAAAAUUGCUCAUCUUGAGAGCAGUUUUCAGCUCUGAGUUUAAGUAAUUUAAGUAAAUACUUCGUUGACAGUUUAAGAAGCUUCUAACAACACCUAUCUCUGUUUGCUUUUCAGGGAGGUCUCUCUUCUACUCUUCUGAACAUUUAGAGCUUGUUUCACCUCUGUAUGUGCUGAUGAAGUCAGAAAUGUGGUGUACCAGCAUGACUAACGUGUGUUGAAUAAUGCAUACAGAUGCUUUCAGAAAUGCAUGCACAGAUUUCAUGCAGUUGUUCCCUUAAGCUGCUGAGCAGUAGGGGGGGUGCAGAGCCGUCCUCAGGGCAGCAGGAGGAGAUGGGUUGGCAUCCAGGGAGGAGCAGAAAACCUCUGUGAUUCCCUGAGGAAAUCAUAAAUGCCUUCAAGGCCUUAAGCUUCGUAGCCUGGUGUUUAACCCUGUGCUUGUUGUUGGAAUGCUGUUAACAUAUAAGUGAUUUCUUCUAGUUCAGGCUGCUGAAUAUACUCAUUUUAAAUUCAUUGUUGUUUGUUGCAGUGCUGUUCUCAAGCUGUACACAUCAAGACAAGGAGGAGACAUCCUUCCUCAGCUCAAAGAUUCUGUCUCUCCCUGCUAUGGAUGCAAGUACGAGCGCCUGGCCAUACGUUCCCCAGGGUGCAGACAGCUUUCUGACCAGCUGCUCUCCCUGUUCUAUCCCUAGCAGUAACAUCCAGGGAAAGCAGAGGCCACUGCUCUCCUGUGGCUGUGUAAGAGCCCCGUUCUGGGCUCGCAGGCUAGGUGCUCCAGAAUGGCGUUUCUAGGAGGUUGCUGCUCCACUUGUGUGGUUUCAAUCGCUUAAGUCUUUGGCCUUGUGCCUUGAAGUGCCAGCAGAGACAUGCUGUAAUUGCCCGUAAACGCACCUUCUGUCAUAUCAUUGUUUAAUUAUUCCAGCUUCUCACUGCCACGCACUGCUUACUGUCUCUCCUGCUAUCUUUAUUUAAUUGAGUGGAAAAAGUCUGAGACUUGUGCUUCACUCACGUCGCUUUGUAUUUAUCCAGCAUCACUGGAUCCUGCUUUGAAGUGCCGGCUUUUGUAUGCAGAAGUCGGUCUUCUAUACAGAAAAAAUAAUGUCUAUGUCAAAAGCGUGUGUUAGAAAUAGAAUCAAUAUUUUAACAUAUGGUAAACUCUGGCCAUAAAGCUCUUAACACAGUCAAAUGAUUGUAUUAUUAUCCUUUGAAACUUGGCUCUGCCCCUGAGAAACAAGGAAGGGAAAGAAAACUCGAAUAACCAAGCCCUUGUCCUCACAGUGCAGGACUGUUCUCAGUCUGUCGCUUUGUCUGUGCCACUUCUUCCUUUUCUGUCUCCCAGCUCUGUUUUCUUCCACAUUGAAUGCAUUCAGCUCCAGGAGCCUUCUUUCCUCAGCCCAUCCCUAUGGAUCUGUUUUAGGGCAGUACCAGAUGUCAGUUCAGUCCCAAGAUUCACCCUGCAACAUCCCCAUGGGAGUUCCAGCACCGUUUCAGACAGCUCUAAAGCUUCUAUACCAAGCCUUGCAACUAACCAAAUAUUAAUGUGUAGAAAAAAAUAAUCUGAGAUCUCUCCAAUGCUCCCCUUGUCUGUAUGGCCUGUAAAAGACGUGGCAGCUUGUUGGCUGCUUUUCUUUCCUCCCCUUCCCUGUGUCAGUGACAAAUGCACAUUGUUUUUCUGGUCUUCAGUUCAGCUUUCAGUCUCUGAGCCAGAAAAACGCUUUGUGCAGCACCUAGCACACCAGAUCAGUAUCAAGGCAGCUGUGUGCUCCUACACCAACACGAAAUACUAGGGUUGCUGGCACUCACUCUGGCCUAGUUUGCCUCUCUCCUGGCAGGAGUUUGAUGACGUCCUCCUGGAAGAUCACUGUCCAUCUGAACAGAUCUAGCUUUCAGGAUCCUAUUUUAUUUCUUCAUAAAUUGUCAACUGAGAUUUUCAUUUGCAGGUGUGCUCCUUAUAGUGUUCGGCUCCUUGACUGAGCCAGCAUCAUUUUUGGGGUUGUACUUUCCGGCUUCCCAUAACUGUAAGAUUAUUCAUUUCAUACUAUUUUCUGAUUUAUUUUUCAUCCAUCUCUUUCCUGCUGGAAAGAGCAAUUUAUAUAAUGAUUUCACUGUGGAAUUGACUUCAAGCUUUACUGCUAUUUGUCACCAUUCAGGAAAUCCAUCCCUGGCUCCAGAAGAACACUCGGUCCCUGUCGACAGUCUGAAAGAGGGAGAGAAAAUAGAUAGCAGAGCUGCAGCUAUUAAGACCAACAGGCACAUAUUUUAUUCCAACUCAGUUUUCCAUUCCCAAAUGCCUUUUGAAGAAAAUCUUUUUUGUUUGAGAGAACAUGAAGGAAGGUUGUGGGUACUGGCUGUGCCAGCUCUUCCAGCCUCCCCACUUUCUGCAUACCUGUGACCAUGGCUGUACAGCCAGGAUUACAUCUAAGGUGAAGACAGAAAAACCAUGAUGAAGGCUUAUGCUAUUUUCAUGAUGGAUAUGAUGCUCACAAAAAUGAAAAGGUCUGUGUCAGUGAAGAUUUGGGAAGAAAUGGUGCUGCUAGGGGCUGAAAUUGAGCCGGAGCUCAGCUACCCGACAUCCCGUGGGUGGAUAUAAAAUUAACUACUCAAUUUGUGCAGAUUAAAAACAAAUCUUGCGUGUAUGAA